rnacentral:rRNA from 1 species
CCUACGGGUGGCAGCAGUGGGGAAUAUUGGGCAAUGGUCGCAAGCCUGAACCAGCAACGCCGCGUGAAGGAAGAAGGCUUUCGGGUUGUAAACUUCUUUUGUCAGGGAAACGUCGAAGACGAUACCUGACGAAUAAACCACGGCUAACUACGUACCAGCAGCCGCGGUCAUACGGAGGUGGCAAGCGUUAUCCGGAUGUACUGGGUUUAAAGGGCGUGUUGCCGGGUUGACAAGUCAGAUGUGUAAUCCUGCGGCAUAACCGCAGAACUGCCUUUGAAACUGUUGAUCUUGAGUAGUGGAGAGGCAGACGGAAUGCCUGGUGGAGCGGUGAAAUGCGUAGAUAUUAGGAGGAAAACCAGUGGCGAAGGCGGUCUGCUGGACAGAAACUGACGGUGAGGCGCGAAAGCGUGGGGAGCAAACAGGAUUAGAGACCCCAGUAGUC